CCUACGGGGUGCAGCAGUGGGGAAUAUUGCACAAUGUGGGGAACCCUGAUGCAGCGACGCCGCGUGAAUGAAGAAGUAUUUCGGUAUGUAAAGCUCUAUCAGCAGGGAAGAAGAUGACGGUACCUGACUAAGAAGCCCCUGCUAACUACGUGCCAGCAGCCGCGGUAAUACGUAGGGGGAAAGCGUUAGCCGGAUUUACUGGGUGUAAAGGGAGCGUAGACGGCAGGGCAAGUCUGGAGUGAAAGCCCGGGGCCCAACCCCGGGAAUGCUUUGGAAACUGCCAUGCUAGAGUGCUGGAGAGGUAAGCGGAAUUCCUAGUGUAGCGGUGAAAUGCGUAGAUAUUAGGAGGAACACCAGUGGCGAAGGCGGCUUACUGGACAGUAACUGACGUUGAGGCUCGAAAGCGUGGGGAGCAAACAGGAUUAGAUACCCUGGUAGUC
rnacentral:rRNA from 1 species